CGAGCGGAGGCGGUGCGGAGCGUUUCUCGUCUCAGCGGCUCGGGAACCAGUGCGUGCUGCGGAGCUGCGGCUGAGCCUCUAGGUAGAAGGCGCAAGAGGUUGGCAGCUUCGAUUGAAGCACGUCGGGCGGCGAGAGCAGCUAGAAGUCAUGAGCGACAGCGGCGAGCAGAACUACGGCGAGCGGGAAUCCCGUUCUGCUUCCAGAAGUGGAAGUGCUCAUGGAUCUGGGAAAUCUGCAAGGCAUACCCCUGCAAGGUCUCGCUCCAAGGAAGAUUCCAGGCGUUCCAGAUCAAAGUCCAGGUCCAGAUCUGAAUCUAGGUCUAGAUCCAGAAGAAGUUCUCGAAGGCAUUAUACAAGGUCACGAUCUCGGUCCCGCUCCCAUAGAAGAUCCCGUAGCAGAUCUUACAGUAGAGAUUAUCGAAGACGGCAUAGCCACAGUCAUUCUCCCAUGUCUACUCGCAGGCGUCAUGUUGGGAACCGGGCAAAUCCUGAUCCCAACUGUUGUCUUGGAGUAUUUGGAUUGAGCUUAUACACUACAGAAAGAGAUCUAAGAGAAGUGUUCUCUAAAUAUGGCCCAAUUGCUGAUGUGUCUAUUGUAUAUGACCAGCAGUCUAGACGUUCAAGAGGAUUUGCCUUUGUAUAUUUUGAAAAUGUAGAUGAUGCCAAGGAAGCGAAAGAGCGUGCCAAUGGAAUGGAGCUUGAUGGACGUAGGAUCAGAGUUGAUUUCUCUAUAACAAAGAGACCACAUACCCCAACACCAGGAAUUUACAUGGGGAGACCUACCUAUGGCAGCUCACGCCGUCGAGAUUACUACGACAGGGGUUAUGAUCGAGGCUAUGAUGAUCGGGACUAUUACAGCAGGUCAUACAGAGGAGGAGGUGGAGGAGGAGGAGGAUGGAGAGCUGCUCAAGACAGGGAUCAGAUAUACAGAAGACGGUCACCUUCUCCCUACUAUAGUCGUGGAGGAUACAGAUCACGUUCCAGAUCUCGAUCAUACUCACCUCUGACCUGCAAGGACCUUCACUAACCCCUCAACCCACCAGGUCUCUCCAACCUCAUCUUGCAACUUUCCUUUUGGAUACUAGAAGCAGGAGCUUCCUCAGCUUUAGUAAACGAGUAGAAAUUCCAACAAUAAGCCACUUGUGAAGAGGAGAGGAGCAAGGAGGAGGCAAGAUGGAGACAAGACUUGGAACUGAGUAUCUAUUAUGUUCUGCAUGUAAGGAAACUGGAAGUCACCACUCCAUCCUAACAAGUAAAAGCUGAACAACAACAAAAAGUCAACAGCUCUUUUUCCAUCUGUAAGAGAGGUAAGGUCAUAGGGCAAACUGCUGCCCCCCAAAUUGAAGAGAUGGGAAAAUACAUUGGAAUCUCAGCUUAGUGGAGUUGAAACCCACAAGCAGAAAUCUCUGCAAAAACCAUUCACCAGAGCAUUCUGUACCUCUUAAAGAUCUGGCCCCAGGAGAAACUAUUUAACCAGAGCCCAACAUGCUGGGAUUUUAUCAGAGCCUAGCUGACGUGGAAAAGGGAAAUACCCAACUCCAGCUUGCUCUAGCUAUCUUGUCCCACAUAAGAGGCCAGGAAUGGUGGUGGUGUGUCGGGGCAGGGGGCUCAGAAGCACUUGUGAAGUUUACAGGGCAGAGGCACAGACACACUAGAAGACUGACACUAAUCACAGGAGUAUAGAUGGUUUCCCCUCUACCCAUACCUUACCACCACAUUUCUAAAGGCUUACGGCAAUUCCUUAUAGCCAGUACAUUAUGUCCAGCUAAUGGGGGGAAAAAAAUACAAGGCGUAUUAAAAGGCAAAAGCCACAGUUCGAAGAGACAGUAGGCAUUAGAACCAGACUUAGAUAUGGCAGGGAUGUUGGAAUUAACAGACUGGGAACUUAAUUAAAACCACUGUUUAAUAUGCAAAGGGCUGUAAUGGAUAAAAUAGCAUGCAGGAACAGAUGGGCAGUGCAAGCAAAGAGAUGCAAACUAAGAAGAAAUCAAAAAGAAAUGCUAGACAUCAAAAACACUGCAGAAAUAAAAUGCCUUUACCAGAUAAUAAAACAGGACAUAGCUAAGAAAGGAAUUGCUGAGCUUAAGGAAUUCUCAAUAGAAACUGCCAAAACUGAAAGAAAAACACCAAAAACCCAAAAACUAAGACAACUGCAAAAGGUAUAGCUCAUAUAUAAUGGUAAUACUAAAAGAAGACGAACAGAAGAAAUAUUUUAAACAAUAAUGAUUGAGAAUUUACCCAAGUUAAUGUCUAUUGCAGACUGUGUUGCCCUCAGAAUAAUAUGUUGAAACUUCAUCUCUAAUGUCAUGUUAUUUGGAGCUUUGGCCUUUGGGAGGUAAUUAGAUCAUGAUGAUGGGGCCCUCAUAAAUGGGAUUAGACACCAGAGAGCUCCCUUGCUCCUUCCACCAUGCAAGCACAACAGUGAAUCAGGAGGUGGAUCUUCACCAGAUGCUGAAUCUGCCAGUGUCUUGAUCUUGGAUUUUCCAGCCUCCAGAACUAUAAGAAAUUUCUGUUUAUAAGCCAAUCCGGUUUAUGAUACUAUGUUAGAGCAGCCUGAACAGACUGGAUGCCAAAGCACAGAUCCAAAAAAC